UGAAAGUUUAAGUCCUGCUCAAGCCAGGCUUGUACAGAAGCACAGGCUCAGGAUCGAAAGGGGAAGAUCAUGGAGGAAGACACGGGGUUGAACGGAAGGUAUUGAAUGCAUUGACUCUCUCCCUUCUUUCCUUUUCUUUGUGGGGAGGGCUGAGUGUCUCAGGUGCAGGGUUUGCGUGUCCAGGAGAUCCAGGCAGCUGCAGAGAGCAGGGUGAGAAAAGAAGAAAUGAGAAGCAGGCAGGGAGUUGAUGGCCAGAGGGCAGGCAACGGCUAACUUCCGCAGCUCAAAGGUUUAGGCUUUUCUACAAAAGAACAAAAAGGAUUUCAGGUACAUAGUUUGUUCUUUAAUUUUAUUACCAUUUCUAUUUGCUUAAUUGGAGGAUAAUUGCUUUACAGUGUCGUGUUAACGUCUGCUGUACAGCAACAGGAAUCAGCUAUCUGUAUACAUAUAUCCCCUGCGGCUUGAGCCUCCCCCCCACCCACCCCAUCCCACCUCUCUGGGUCAUCACAGGGCACCCAGCUGUCCCACUAGCUAUCUAUUUUACACAGGGAGGUAUAAGGGAAUGUAAUCCAAACUCAAGUUUAAGGAGAGCUUUCUAUUUCUUGGCAAUGGCAAAACACCGCCAUCUGGGGCUUGUCUAUGUCACUGAAAAGAGGAUUCCUCCUGUCGUAACUGGAGCAUGGUGAGGCAGCUUGGAAUUUGCAUGUGGGCUCAGAUCUUACUUAAAUCACCAGUUUUAUCGGAGUAGCAAGUCUCCAGGCAACAACACUCACUAAAUGCGUUUGCUCAAAACCAGAAACAACAUGGGCUUGGGCUGAGAGGGGUCCUCCUGCUGGUGACUCAGCAGACCAAGGGGCGUCUGUGAAGACAGGUCACCCUGCGGCCACUUCCACCGCGGCUGUCACUGGCUGCGCUUAGUCGCUCAGUCCUGUCCGACUCUUUGUGACCUCAUGGACUGCAGGGCACCAGGCUCCUCUGUCCGUGGGAUUCUCCAGGCCAGAAUACUGGAGUGGGUUGCCAUGCCCUCCUCCAGGGGAUCUUCCCGACCCAGGGAUCAAACCCAGGUCUCCCGCAUUGCCUGUGGAUUCUUUACCAUCUGAGCCACCAGGGACAGGCACCCCCUUCUCAGGCUGUUUUUGAGGAGCCUCCAUACUGUUUUCCGUAGAGGCUAUACCAUCCUGCAUUCCCACUGUGUGUGAAGGUUCCAAAUCCCCACACCCCUGCCAACACUUGCUUUUUGUGGUGGUGGUGGUGGUUUUGAUAAUAGCCAUUCCAAUAGGUGUGAGAUAGUCUCUCACUGUGGUUCUGCUUAAGACACUUUGUUAAUGUGGACCCUUUUCUAAAGUCUUUAGUGAAUUUGCUGCCAUACUGCUCCUGCUGUAUGUUUCGGUGUUUUGGCUGUGAGGCACAUGUGAUCUUAUAGGUCCCUGACCAGGGAACAAGCCUGCACCUCCUGCAUCGGAAGGCACAGUCUUAACCGUGGGACUGCCAGGAAGUCCCUUGCUUUGCAGCCACGUAUGAUGGACAUAUUUUUGUUCUUUUGACAUGGUGGCUUAUUCCCGUGGCUUCACGAUAUGUUUUGAUAACCUGCAAAUCCAGUUCAGAAGAAAUAGAUUGUAAACAUUCCCAUUUUUCACAAGUUUUUGAGAUAAAACUCAGUAUCUUGAUACCAAAAGGGCCAAGUCAGUAACUAUUAUCAGCAGUAAAUAUUCUCCUACUUGCCUGAAAGUCUGAGCCCCCUGUCACACCACUGCUCACUUCAGGGUCUUCGAUGCUGAGAUCCCACAAAUAAAGAGUUUUGCGUUUCAGUCGCCAUGUCGCCUUUUAUUAAUUGAGGAAGGUUUAUAAAGCUUAAAGGAAAUCAACUCUGAAUAUUCACUGGAAGGCCUGAUGCUGAAGCUGAAGCUCCAAUACUUUGACCAUCUGAUGAGAAGAGCCAGCCCUUUGGAAAAGACCCUGAUGCUGGGAAUAGCUGAAGGCAAGAGGAGAAGGGGGCGACAGAAAAUGAGAUGGUUGGAUGGCAUCACCGACUCAAUGGACACGAGUUUGAGCAAGCUCUGGGAGAUGGUGAAGGACAGGAAAGCCUGGUGUCCAUGGGGUUGCAAAGAGCCAGUCUUGACUUAGCAACUGAACAACAAGAAUAAAGCUUAGCAGAGUGCUGUUGGUAAUUCAUAAAGUCCAUCCACUCGUUGCACUAAAGACUUUAUUUGUGCAAAAUAAGUCUUCCUUCCUUGGUUUAGCACGAUCUCAAUUGCUUUUUAAGGAUUGUUGGUGAAACUGGAGAGAAAGUUCCAGUGCCAGAUUCCAUUUCACUUAAGCAAAGAAAAUCAGAUUAAAAUAAUGAAUGACACUCCAGGAACUGUGAGGCUUCCUGGGGCAGUGAGUGACUGUCCACAGGGCCUUAGCCUGAGACCCCCUCUGUGACAUAAAUAGGGAUGCAUUUCAUCGCAGCUAAGCGUCAGGAAAUAUGCUUUUAAUUAUCACUUAAGAUGUAACCUGUCAGAGGUCUUAGUAUCACUUGUUUUUAAUGAGAAUUGAUUUUCAGAUUGCAUUACCCCGAAAGCCAAGGAUAAUGGAAACCCCUGGUUCUUUCCUGAGACCUUUAGUCACCACAUGUUCCUCCGUCGAUCUCGCUGGCAUCGCCAGCCCCUAGACAUCUGAUCUGCCCACAUGGGGCCCUGGCAGAGGGGCCAGCUUGUUAGCCUUAAAGUGAUUCUGAUGAAUGAGAUUCUACAAAGCUGAGCCUGGCUCACGCGUUUUGCUGCAAAAUGAGCGAGCCCCAGGGAAAACUAAAGAGGGGUUGAAUUUUUCACUGUGGUCCACAGGCUGGCCUCAUGGAUACAAGAUGCUGGGCAGAAAUCAUGUAUUGAUGGGGAAACCAUUCAUCUGAGUGAGGCCUACCUCUGCGUAGACCUUCCCACUGGUAUCCUAACCUUUUCUGAAAUGGCUGAGCAAUCCCUGAAAGGCACACCAGGAGCGGAUGUGCAGAAAGGCAGCAAGAGGAAGGAUGAGAUACCUGGUUAUCUGGUUUCCAAACUUAAGUCAUGCUCAUACCAUAUACCACCGUCCUGUUUUUCUUGCCAUAAACUGGUACUGUCUUUACAAUGAUUUACUUAAUAUUUUCCCUUAAGUUGACUCAGAAAACUUUAUGGACUUACUUUGCGAAGAACAUCAAUAUUGAAAACAGAUUAGUCUUCUGCGUUUGUCAACAGAACUUUUUCAGUUAUAGAAGGAUAUUAUUGCCUGCUGUUGGUUUUCCUUGUGAUGGUUGCCUGUGAUUUCUUUGUUAACAUGGAUAUCUCAGAGGUGUUAAUGGCAGAGUAAUGUGAUCUAGUUCCUUCUCUUUUUGAUUGUCAGAAUCAAAAAGAUUGGAAGAGAAUUGGAUGGGGAAUAACUUUCUCACCCUUCAACACUGCAUUAUUGCUUUAUGUGUAUAAGACCUAAAAGAAUCGUGGCAUGUGUCCAUCUGGGAAAUGAUGGUAGAAUGCAUUCAUGAUUAUGUGCAGAUCAGAUUGGAAGAUGAUGCGGAGGGAAACUGGAGGCAGGGGGAAAGAAAGGAGCCAAGAAAAAGCAAACGCAUGCAGGCUCUGGCUUCUUUCCACUAGUAGAGAAACACAGUGAUGGAAAGGAAAAUGAUCAGAUUUAAAGUCAGUCUUACCCACAGUCCCUCUGUGUUCUUUCACGCAAUCCAUGUGUAUUAAUCACCUCCCGUGUACCAGUCACUGUGCCGUGUACUCCAUGAGAACAAAACCCGAUGUCAUGCGGGACUCAGUUCCGCAGGAAACAGACGGGUGUGUGCAGAGCUGUGGCAGCUACUAGGAAGCCACCUGCCUCAGAUUCUGGGGACCUGCAACAGCAAUGGUGAGAAGGAGGUCCCUGGUGUGUCGCCCUGUUGUAGUAUUCUAACAUCGAGGACAACAGAAAGUAAUCCCAGCCAAACCAGCGCAUUUGGGAAAAUAGAACGCAAUGUCACGGCGGUUUGGGCCUCCUGACUUUCUGGGUCAGUGGGAAGGUAUUGUUCCUGCUGCACUAUGGUCUGCUGACUGUAGAAGGGGGAGCAUCGGUGCUGGACACCAGGUGCCAGUGGCCAUUACAUUUCCAAAGCUCAGAAGCAGUGGUGGCUCAGGCAUCUGCAGAGACGUGGAUGGACUUAGACACUGUCAUGCAGAAUGAAGGAAGUCAGGAAGACAGAAACAAAUUCGUAUAUCAAUGCAUACAUAUGGAAACUAAAAAAAUGGUAUAGAUGAACCUAUCUGCAAAGCAGAAAUAGAGACACGGAGAGCAAACGAAUGGACAACAACAGGGGAGGGUGGGACGAACUGGGAGACUGGGACUGACACAUACUGGAUGUCGUUCAGUCGCUCAGUCGUGUCCGACUCUUCGAGACCCCAUGAACCGCAGCACGCCAGGCCUCCCUGUCCAUCACCAACUCCCGGAGUCCACCCAAACUCAUGUCCAUUGACUCGGUGAUGCCAUCCAGCCAUCUCAUCCUCUGUCAUCCCCUUCUCCUCCUGCCUUCAAUCUUUCCCAGCAUCAGGGUCUUGUCCAGUGAGUCAGCUCUUCGCAUCAGGUGACCAAAGUAUUAGAGCUUCAGCUUCAGCAUCAGUCCUUCCAAUGAACACCCAGGACUGAUCUCCUUUAGGAUGGACUGGUUGGAUCUCCUUGCAGUCCAAGGGACUCUCAAGAGUCUUCUCCAGCACCACAGUUCAAAAGCAUCAAUUCUUCAGCCUUCAGUCUUUUGACAAAAUGUGGUCCACUGGAGAAGGGAUUGGCAAACCAUUUCAGUAUUCUUGCCUUGCGAAUGCCUUAAACACUAUGAAAAGGCAAAGGGAUAUGACGCUACAGACACUAUGCAGAAAACAGAUAACUAAUGAGAACAUGCGGUAUAGUACAGGGAACUCUCCUCAACACUUUGUGGCGAUCUCCAUCGGAAGGACACCCAAAAGAGAGGGCAGAUAUAGGGAAUAUAUGUACACAUAUAUCAGUAGCUAAUUCACUUCACUGAACAGCAGAAACUAACACAAUAUUGUAAAGCAACUGUACUCCAAUUUAAAAAAGAAAAAGUCGAACUUGCUGCUGCUGCUGCUAAGUCGCUUCAGUCGUGUCUGACUCUGUGCGACCCCAUAGACAGCAGCCCACCAGGCUCCCCCGUCCCUGGGAUUCUCCAGGCAAGAACACUGGAGUGGGUUGCCAUUGCCUUCUCCAAUGCAUGAAAGUGAAAAGUGAAAGUGAAGUCGCUCAGUCGUGUCUGACUCUUCGCAACCCCAUGGACUGCAGCCCACCAGGCUCCCCCAUCCCUGGGAUUCUCCAGGCAAGAACACUGGAGUGGGUUGCCAUUGCCUUCUCCAAUGCAUGAAAGUGAAAAGUGAAAGGGAAGUCACUCAGUCAUGUCUGACUCUUCGUGACCCUAUGGACUGCAGCCCACCAGGCUCCUCCAUCCAUGGGAUUUUCCAGGCAAGAGUACUGGAGUAGGGUGCCAUCGCCUUAGGACUCACCAAAAGUUUCGCUGAACAGCCUGCCCAGUGUGAUUCCCGCGGAUGUCCCCUGUGUGGGUAUUAGUGGCUCCCGUUGGGCUCAUCCUGUCCUUCAGGUGACUCUAUCCGAGCGAGGCUUGCAGACCAUGGUGUUUGAGCAGGUGGCCACCAGCCUGGUUCUACUCUUCCUGGGCUGGACCAAGUGAGGAGAAGCACAAGUGGGUCCCCAGUGUUCAGCAGCUGCCCAAGCUAAGUUCACAGCUCUGCGGGAAAAGCCAGGUCAGCUUGAUGGCUCUUGACCAAGGCUUGCUUAGAGUCCUGACCACUUCAUAAGGUACAUUCCGCCCCCAGGUGACUCAGUGCUACAGUCCAAUGCAAGAGACGAAAAAGAUGUGGGUUUGAUCCCUGGGUUGGGAAGAUCCCUGGAGUAGGAAAUGGCAACCCACUCCAAUAUUCUUGCCUGGGAAGUUCCAUGGACAAAGGAGACUGGCGGGCUACAGUCCAUGGGGUUGUAAAGAGUCAGAUAUGACUGAGCAUGUACGCAUCCCUCUUAACAAACAGGGUCAAACCUUAAUAGUGUUGCCAGCUUGAAGAACUCUUAAAACAUUAAUUGCUGCACUAGUGGUCUCCAUCCAAGAUUAAGGAAAUCUAGUGGACCCUGUGUCUAAGACCUGCCUAAAGGUUUUCUAGUUUUGGUGCACAAGACAGGAACCCAAGCUUCCUCAUUCUUUCCUGAAGACUUUCUUCCCAUGGUUAGUUGCCUAGAAUGUUGUCUGGUUACCUUUUCCAUGAAUGGCAUGGAUCUAGGAAUGUAGAGACUAAGUAAUAACGAAACGCAAUGGACUGAAUUGUGUCUGCACAGAUUUCCAAUGCUGAAGCCCUCGCCUCCAGCCUUUGAAGUAAAGAAGGAUUUAAUGUCAUGAGGCUGGAGACUUGAUUUAAUUGGAUUAACGCCCUAGAGAGCUCUCUCUCGCUCUCUCUCCUUCAUUUGAAGACACAGCAAGGAGGCGGCAGUCUGCAAGCCAGGAAGUGGGUGUUCCCUAGGGUCCAAAUCGGCCAGCAUCUCCAUCUGGGAGUCCCAGCCUCCAGAACUGAGAGAAAUAAGUGCCUGCUGGUUAAGCCUCUUAGUCUGCUGUAGUUUGUAAUGAUGGCCAGAGCUGACAAAGACACCAUACAACAAAAUCAGGAAGUCUCAGGGCUGCAUAUGAGAAAUAAGCAGGGGUUUCAUGGAGGCAUUACAACUAUAAGAACAGAGGCUUCCCUGGUGGCUCAGGGGUAAAGAAUCCCACUCCAAUAUUCUUACCUGGGAAAUCUCAUGGACAGGGGAGCCUGGCAGGCUACAGUCCAUGGGGGUCUCAAAAGAAUCAGACACGACUCAGCGACUAAAUCACCACCACCAUAAGAACAAAACCGAGAUCGGGGCUCAGUGUCGUUGCUUACACGAUAGAAAGGGUGAGGUCAGGGGCAAGUUCAGCACGGGUGGCAGGGGUCCUAUCCAUUCCACUCUUGUCAAUUACAGCGUCAGACGGGAUUGGUUUCAGCCGCCGAUUAGGAGACAAAGGGUCAGCUCAGGCCUGUUACCGCAGUCUUGUGCUCUCCCGCUGGCAGGAGCCGCCUCUUGAACAAUGUGUGGGGAUACAGUGUCUGCCCUACAAUUCAGGGCGGGAGUGCACUAUUCAUGCGCAUCCUUAGAGAGGCACCUUCGAACUCUCUGCCAUACAGUCCAGGACACUGCCCACUUUUCACUCCCAGCAGAGCAGAAAGACAGAGACAUGAUGAGAUUUCCCGCACACCCUGCCAAACCCGAGAGUCUCACGGCAACCAGGCAGGCUCAUGGCAUCAGAAGCCAAGUAAACCACUUAGGAGAGAGCUGGCCACUCCUUACGUGUGUGUUAGUCGCUCAGUCGUGCCCAACUCUUUGCGACCCCAUGAACUGUAGCCCACCAGGCUCCUCUGUCCAUGGGAUUCUCCAGGCAAGAAUACUGGAGUGGAUUGCCAUUCCCUUCACCAGAGGAUCUUCCCGACCUAGAGACUGAACUCUGGUCUCCUGAAUUGCAGGCAGAUUUUUUACCAUUUGAGCUACAGAGAAGUCCUAACCAUCCUAAGGCCACUUCUUGGGUAAACCCAAGUCUUUGUUGUCUUAUUUAGAAAAACUAGUUCAGAACCGGUAUUCUAACUUUGUUGUCAUUGUUCAGUCGCUAAGUUGUGUCUGACUCUUUGCAACCCCAUGAACUGCGGCAUGCCAGGCUCCCAUGUCCUUCCCUGUCUCCCAGAGUUUGCUCAGAUUCAUGUUUAUUGAGUCAGUGAUGAUAUUCUAACCGUCUCAUCCUCUGUCGUCCCCUUGUCCUCCCACCCUCAAUAUUUCCCAGAAUCAGGGUCUUUUCCGAUGAGUUGGGGCUUUGCAUCAGGUGGCCAAAAUAUUGGAACUUCAGCAUCAUAAUUUCAAGGGGGGUUGCUUUGUAGAAAAAUCCAGGUGCUUGGCUAUUUAUUGGAUAUGUAACCAUCCUUUUUGAAUAUUUAGUACAUGCCACCUACAGCCCCAGAUUCUCUCUGUGCAUCAGCUCCUUGACUCUUCCUAACCACUGGGAGGCAGUCACUAAGAUCUCCAUUUUACACAGGAGGAAACUUUAGAGGAUCUUUGUGGAUCUUCCUGAGGCCAUGUGGUCAGUUACAGCCCUGAAGGAUCAGGUCUUUUGGUGCUCGCUGAUUGCUCUUCUCAAAUUGUCACCUCGUCUUUCUUGAGGGUCAGAGAGACAUUCAUAGGAGAGGGACAGGAUCCCUCCCACACUUUGUCACAACCAAAAAAAUGCAAUAAUACAGGACUAUGGAGACCCAAUCCUUUUUCUCAAUUCUGGCUAAAGAGCCCAAAUCUUACUUUAGAGAAUACACUUUCUGUUUUUUACUGGCAUGGAGUACCUAAACUGUCAGAAGAGGUGUUUCAUUCCUUCUAGAUAAACUCCUGGGGAAAAAUCUCUUUUGAAAGCAUUUUCCCCUUAAAGGACCCCAAAAAGAUUUUUAGAAUCAAAAAGAAAUGGAUCCUUUGUGGUCUUAUUUUCCAAGGUGUUCUCUCUCUCUUUUUUUUUUUUUAACAGUGAAUGUGUAUUAUUUUGCAAUCAGAUAAUAGCUGUGCCUUGUUUGUGAUUGAAAAUGGAGGACUUCCAGCCCGAAGGCCAACGGGAGCACAGAGGGGCAUUUUGCACCAUGUCCUCUCAAAUCUCUCUCCCAUCCCACUCCGCCUCUUGGAGAACUUGUUUUAUGGAGUGUUCCUUUCAACGCUCUUCCAGUGAGGAGGUUAAUGCAAUGUCUCCCGAAGAACAAAGCACUUUUACACGCAUUAUCUAUUGCCAGCUACCCACAAGCGAAGCAAAGUCCUUCUCGACAGUUGGCAGCUUUAAUAAAAGACUAGAAAGCUGAAUAUAUUUGCAUUUAUUUUAGUUUGUUUAUAAGCCAUAUCAUGCAGCAUGUAGGAUCUUAGUUCCUUGACUAGGAAUCGAACUUGUGCCCUCUGCAUUGGAAGCUCAGAUCUUAACCACUGGACCACCAGGGAUGUCCCUUGCAAUAAUUUCAGAAGUAAUUUUGGAGUGUUCUAGUACUCAUCUCACAAACCCACCUCAACCUAGUACCUUCCUCUUUCUCUGAAAAAAAAAAAUGAUGUAAAAUUGUUGAAGCAAUGGUAUGAACAGUGGUCCAUUUUGAUUACUUUGAAUUACAAUAAAUUCUGGUCAUUUUAAAAAGGUUUCUGUCUUUAGGAUUUAUCUUCUUGCCGUGAGAGAGGCCAGUAGGUGUCCUGGGUGUGUAGAUGGGAAAAGGAGGUGAUGGACACAGCGCCGGCCUUGCAUCAACACAGUCCAUCCUGUGAUCAGUCACAUGAUCCCUGGAGUGUGUCAACCUGAGCAUGUCUUCAGAUAAGAAAUUAAAUAUCUGUGUGUAUAUAUUGAAUUUAUAUAUAUGCUGUAUGGCUAAUGUAUAAACACUUUUGUGACAUGAAGAAACAUGGGAGCAGAUAUAAAGGAUACAUGUGGUGAAUAGCAGGAGGAGAAGAGGAGACAGAAGAAGGAAGGAAGAAAGGCGGGAAGAGAGAGGGAUCAGUUAACCCUAUCCCACCCUACAGAGAAGCUAGGCAUUGAUUUUGAUAAUUAAAACUAACAUAUUUUGGCCUCUGUAUUCCAUUUGUGCUUUUUCUCUUUGCUUCCUUCUUCUCAAGAAUCUUUUCGUUGGUACCCAACUCUCUUGUUGGUACCCAAGGCCCCGUCCUGAGGGACCUGGGCUACCCUUUCACCUGCAGGUAUUCGCCAGUGAUUGGCCGAGCUAAACCCCGAGUCACAGAUAUCUAGGAGCCUGUGAGCCCCCGGGCCUCACCCCGUCCCCAGCCGGCUGUGCCGCUGACCGGGAUCCAGUGCGUCCUGGCGCCCGUGGGACUUCCCACAGUUGUGGCCUGGCCUUGAUGCCCAGCCGGCCUCCCCUCUUCACUUUGGAGCCCCACAGGGUUUUGUUCUUCAGGUUGGAAAGUAACCCACUCAAGGCAGUUUUUUUUUUUUUUUUUUAAUUGUGGUAAAGUACAGAGAACAUAACAUUUACCAUUAAUUUAUAUAUUAUCCUUUUAAAGUAGUUAGAGUCUCUCAGCCAACGUUACUGAAAAGUUUUACAUCUGUGUCUACAAAUGUUUUGUCUAUAGUUCUCUCAUUGGGCAAUUUGUCAGGUUUUUCUAUCAAUGUUGCGCUCACGUUUUUUUUUUUUAAUUGCAGCAAAAACCACACAGCACUUUGGGUGACGAUAUAUUGGUGAGGAGUCAGCGGUUGUAACAAGUGUCCCGCGCUGGUGGGGGCGCUGAUUGUGGGGGAGGCGAUGGUACAGGCGGUAGCAAGUCUGUGGGGAAUCCCUGAACCUUCUCUCCACUUGGCUGUGAACCUAAAAUUGCUCUAAGCCUAGCCUAUUAAAAAACACACGACAUGCAAUUGGCCACCUUAAUCACCCUUAAGUGCGUAGUUCCGCAGCGUUGAAUGCAUGUACAUUGUUGUGGUGCCUAUCUCCAGGGCUUUCUGUACGCAUUAGGACACUCUGGACGAUUAAACAGCAGUCUCCUUCCCCUCUUCCCCUUUCCCAGACCCUGGUAACCACCAAGCUACUUUCUCUUCGUAUGAUUUUAUUUUCAUAUAGGUGGACUCUAUAGUAUUUGUCUUCUGGCUGUUUUAUUUCACUUGGCCUAGGUGGCUCAGAGGUUAAAGCAUCUGCCUCCAAUUCGGGAGACCUGGGUUCGAUCCCUGGGUUGGGAAGAUCCCCUGGAGAAGGAAAUGGUAACCCACUCCAGUAUUCUUGCCUGGAGAAUCCCAUGGACAGAGGAGCCUGGCGGGCUACAGUUCAUGGGGUCACAAAGAGUCGGACAUGACUGAGCCACUUCACUUUCACUUUCACUAAGGCCCUCAAGGUUCAUCCGAGUUGCAGCCAGUGUUGGGAUGUCCUUUUCAAAGGCUGAAUCUUAUUCUAGGAAAUGGGCGGGCCACAUUUUGCUCAUCCAUUUAUCCAUCAAUGAACACUCGGGUGGCUUCCAGCUCUGGCUAAUUGUAAAUAAUGCUUUAGAGUACUAAUAUCUCUUCAAGUCUCUGUUUUGAUCACUUUUUAGCACAAAUUUUACUUUUCAGCAAAUUUCAAUAUGAUACAAUGUUAUCAACUAUAGUCACCAUUUUACACAUUGGAUCCCCAGACUUUAUUCAUCUUAUAGCUGAAAAUUUGUACCUUUACCAAACUUUCCCAAUUCUCUGCCUCCGGCCCCCAGCCACCCCUGUCCCUGGCAACCACUUUUCUACUUUCUGUUUCUAUGAAAGCUUUUUUUUUUCAAUUCCACAUGUAAAUGAUCCCAUGCAGUAUUUGUCUUUCUUUGCCUGGCUCAUUUCACUUAGCUCUCCAGGUUUGACCAUGUUGUUGUUGCAAAUACAAGAUUUCCUUCUUGUUCAGGACAGAAGAAUAAUACUGUGUGUGUGUGUGUGUGUGUGUGUGUGAGAGAGAGAGAGAGAGAGAGACAGAGAGAGAAAGUACCAUAUUUUCUUUAUCCACUCACCUCUACAAACCCAGAAGUGGGAUCUCUGGAUAACUUGGUAGUUCUUCUACGUUUGCCCAUUUUUAAAUGUAUAAUUCAGUGGUAUUAGGUACAGUCACCUUGUUGCGCAUAGAUACUGAAGAUUUGGGGAUCAAGCACACAAGUACCGGUUUUACCCAGCAGGGAGGCCGCCCCAUCUCCAGGCUUAGAAAGAGAACCCUGGGGUGUUUCUUAGGCGGGCUUCUCACUGGCCUCCCUUCCAGCCUCUAGUCACCCACUGUGGUUCCAGUGCAGCCCUUCUGGACUCUGGCCCUCUGCUCUCCCUCCGUCUUCACUGAGCCCCUGCUGGGAGCCCAGCGGGGUCCCUCCUGGCCAUGCACUCUCCCCCCACUCCCAUCCGCCCCGCAGACCCCAUUUGUCAUCAGGCCAAAGCUGAGCAGCCUGGCCUGAGCACAGUCAGCCUCUCGCUGCCCCUCUGGAAAUCCAGAAGGCCCCUCCCUGGACCCCCAGCAGCCCACCUCGCCCACCCCUCCCCGCCCUCUGCUCUCCGUGUGAUGCUGAAGUUUCCGGGCCAGGCGGGGAGCAGGCGGGGGUGGGGAAAGUGCCCGGGGUUUAUCAGGGUUCAUCUGACUGUCUCACAGCAGGCGCCGCGCUGCCAGCAUCCGCGCGACUUGGGUUUCAACCGUUUGCUCCACUGGACACCUCGCCGCCCCCUCGCCUCCGCGCAUAAUAAGCCUCAUUCUUUCCACAGCAGCGGCCCCCGGGACCUCCCGCGCGGGGACCCCGGCUCUGCGGGACCUGCUCACGGCUCUUCUCGCCUUUCUGCAGUCCGUUCAUCGGAAACCUGAGCCGUCGGGCCGAGGGGAGCCCAGCCUGGCUCCUGCCGGGGGUUAUGACAUUGUAAUGGACCCUUGGACAGCAAGGGGAUCAAACCAGUCCGUCCUAAAGGAAAUCAACCCUGAAUAUUCACUGGAAGGACUGAUGCUGAAGCUGAAGCUCCAAUAGUUGGGCCACCUGAUGCGAAGAUCCAGCUCAUUGGAAAAGGCCCUGAUGCUGGGAAAGAUUGAAGGCAAGAGGAGAAGGGGGCAACAGAGGAUGAGAUGGUUGGAUGGCAUCAGUGACUCAGUGGACAUGAGUCUGAGCAAACUCUGGGAGGUAGUGAAGGACAGGGAAGCUUGGCGUGCUGCAGUUCAUGGGGUGGCAAGGAGUCGGGGAUGACUUAGCGGCUGAACAACUUAACAUUGUAGGGGAAAGAGAGUACAACAAAAGGGUCUGCUAGUACAAUCUGACAUUCAAAAUCCUUGAUAUCCAUUACUUAUCAGUCGCUUCAGUGCCCCCAGCAGCAGGGCUUUGUCAUCCUGGCGCAUCUUGGCUCAGUAUCAGCUCCGACUAAUAAACAGUAACUGCUGUUAACCAGAACAGUGAAAGAGUUUUCAUAAUAUAAAAACUGGAUUUUGUGAUUCAAAACUUGUAUUAUUUCCUUUGAGCAUCAGUAGUUAUAUUUGGUACUUUUUUUUUCUCUAGAAUUAGGCACUGCUCCCUCAAAGGGACCGGCAGUUGGGAGCAGACCAGGGUAGGGUAGGGAGGGUCAUUUAAGGACCUGUCCUGGAUGAAUCAGGGUGAAAUCAGAGCACCAGGCACUCAGGCUUGACUGGAGUUUAACACUUGAACAUGACUGCAAGUGGUCUUCUGCUUUGAAGAGCUUUAGUAAAACGUUAACCUAGAAGUGCGCUUUUUUUUUUUUUUGGAGAGGGGGAGGGAAACAGAUUUCAUAUUUUAGCUUUCCUAUUUGAUCACGUGCUCAGAAGUGCCCUUGACUCCAAAGAUGUUAAACAUGAAGAUGCUGGUUUUUAAUUGCAUGUAUGUUAGAUAGCUUUCUAUGUGAAUAUACAUGACAUAAUACAUUGCUCAUUUUAUUAAAACAGCUAUAAACUGAGGUAUUAAUUAAUAUGCCCUUGGUGGCUGUUUUCUUUUUUUAGGUCUUUGCCCCCCCCACCCCGAUGUGGACCAUUUUAAAAGUCUUUAUUGAAUUUCUUACAAUAUUGCUUGUUUCAUGUUUUGGUGUUUUGGCCUCGAGGCAUGUGGGAUCUUAGCUUCCUGAUCAGGGAUUGAACCCUUACCCCCUGCACUGAAAGGCAAAAUCUCAAGCCACUGGAAGUCCUCUGAUGGUCGUCGUCGUCUGCUGCUGCUGCUGCUGCUGCUGCUGCUGUUGCUGCUGCCACUAAGUCGCUUCAGUCGUGUCUGACUCUGUGUGACCCCAGAGACGGCAGCCCAGCAGGCUCUCCCAUCCCUGGGAUUCUCCAGGCAAGAACACUGGAGUGGCUUGCCAUUUCCUUCUCCAGUGCAUGAAAGUGAAAAGUGAAAGUGAAGUCGCUUAGUCGUGUCCGACUCUUCGUCUAGUAGUAUCUAAAGAAAAGAUAGCCAUUUCUUAGUAUCUUUGUGUUUAUUGUUAUUAGAAAGCGGUAACAUCCUGUACAUGCAACUUUGAAUUUCUGUGAAUACAUGAAAUAAAUUCAUAAAAGUAAAAUGAAAGAAAAAUCCAGCUGUUGUGACCUGUCAAGAUGUCUUUGGUUCUCUAAUGAGUGGCAAGUCGCAGCCAUGCUUCUCCAGCCUUUCCCCACUGACUCGUCCUCUGGACUGUAGGACGGAGGUGCCUGGAGCAGAAACAGCUGUGGGUGGCGAUGGGCACGGGCAAGCAGAUCAGGCAGUGGUGAUAGGACCUAAACGCCCUCAUGGGUCUCAGGCCGUGGGGUGGGGUGGGUGGGGGCAGGCAAAGGGCAGGGAAGCAAGAGGGGGCGGGGUGGAAAGAGAAGCCAGCGCUUGCCAGCAGGACCUGGGGAGAGCCGCAUCCAAUUGUGCAUGGCCCACGUGAUCCGCCCGAUGAAGGAUGUGCACGUGAGGCUGGGCAGGGACCCUGGAGACUUCCUUCCCAGGUCUUUGACCUCCGGGCCAGGGGGAUACUCCAGCAGAGCAGCUCCCACAGUCCGCUUCUCCAGCCCCCAGACCCUGAUCUGAGUCUGUGUCGGCUCUUUGGUUUCUUCCUCUGCCUGUCAGCCUCCCUUAGCGCCUCCGUGGGCACGCUGCUGAGUGUCUGACAGAGAAAAGGGAGGCUCCGUGCUUCCACCGCCUCAGCCUGCAUCUCUCUCGGCCAGGUGCGGCCAGAGGCUCGAUAAUCAAGUCAAGGGCCGCAUUGUCUGCGCCUCUCCCAAGGAAGACGAGUGACAUUUAACAGCCACCGGAUGUACACUUGAGUCCUGUCUCCAUUUCUGUGAAUUUAAGCGCCUGGGGGGUGGGGUGGGAUCCCCUUCUCCAGAGGGCUCUCCCUGCCCCAACUCCCCAGCGGUGUGUCUAUGUCCUUCCCACAGAGGGCAGUUUGUUUCAGGGAGCUACUUGACUGUGAGAUGUUUUCUAAGAUGUCGUUUCUAAAAAACAGAGAGAAAGAUGAACUUGGAGCAACCCUGUAUCUCCAGCCCAUAGAAUUCCUGGCCCACUUCAAGCCCAGACUGGGGGCAAAAAGCAGUCCAACAUUCCAUGAAAGGGACACCGGCUUUUAGAGAGAAAGAGCAAUCUCGAAACCAGUGCAUUCAGAGACGUGUAAAACAACCCCCCUUCCCCAGCCUUACUUCUUGCCCUGUGAUGCUCAGCUGAUACACACAGGUGGGAUCCUGCCCCUGUGGUCCAGCAUCCUGGCUGUCUGUGGAAGCUGCUCCUGAUUGGUCCAGAGCAUCUCAGGAUCAUGAGAAGAGCAGAGUUCCUGCAUCCAGGCUAAGCCCAGAUAUUAGCUCUGUGAUGAGGGCUGGUCAGGCCAUCUCCCUGAAAUUUUAGUUCCUUUACACAAUUUACUUCCUUGCCUUUAUAAUGUUUUCAUUAUGAAUGUUAUUGUAUAUAAUACUCCUAGAUGUUUCCCCCUUCUUUCCUCACCUGUUCUGUACAACCCAGAUCAAAUACCAGCACCUCUUCUACCCAGGGAUCUUCUUUUUAAAACCCCUUCCCACCCACGUUUUUUCCCUGAAUCUUUUAAGGUGUUUGUAACUAAUUACACACAAAGUUAUCUCUAGGGCAGGCUAGGGAAGGCCCUCUAUCCCCUCCAUAUGGUUAGCGCCCACUUCCAUGAGUCCAGUGAAUGAAUAAGUAAAUGGACUUGCUUUGAAGCAUUUUCUCUUCUGGGAAAUUUGCAGGAAUAAUUUAAAGUGUUAUUGUCUUUCAAUAAUAUACACAAUUUUAUCCUAUAUUUUCAUCACAAGGUCUUAAAGUCUUAUUCAGUUUUCCAGGCCAGGCCAAUGACGAGAUCAAAAGGAUAAAUAGUUACUUCCAAUUUAGGAAGAACUUAGGAGAACAUUUAGUUUCUAGGAUAUUCCUAGAAUCCAGCCUUUUUCAAAAGUAAAUACACUUCAGGUUGGAGCUAAGCCUUCAGACAUACUGUUUCUGCUUUCCCCUGGGAAGUUUGUUUCUUUAUAGCAUUCCAUAACAGGUAGACGGGUUGUGUUAUCUUCAGGAGGAAGGAUCCUAGCGCCUGAGAAGACUUUGGGCAGGAAAUGUCCCAGAUGGAGCAGUGUGUGUCUACCAUACAGACAUUUAUCCACACUCAAGUUAUCUGCAAUGCUGUAUUUUCUACAUCGCCCCAUACAUUUCAAACAAAGUGUAUUCAUUUCAAAAAACCACACACAUUUAGGAUGCAUUUCGUACUUGCGCUACAAUGAAGUGACUUAAUUGAUGCAUUGAUAAACUUAGGACCUGCGAUUUUCAUUUUUUUAUAAGUAGACAUUCCCAGCGAGCAAUCAGGACAUGGAGUCUUCACUUACACAAACACAGCUGUUGUUUUGAAAAAAUAAUAUGAUUAACAGAGAAUUUUCAGAAAGAACUCUGUGUCAAUAAAAAUAAAUGUUGAAUUGGUCUAGGAAAUGUACCAAACACACAAACACACACACGCACACACACACACACACAUGCACACACAUAGACAUUUCCACCUUUAUUUGCAACAAUCAAAAUUUUAAAAUAUUGUGCCAAAACUUCUUCCUUUCCUCCCAAAUCUCAAAUCUCUCUAAUAUAUAUACAGACACUUUGAAUAUGGCUUCCCUGAUGGCCCAGUUGAUAAAGAAUCUGCCUGCAAUGCAGGAGAUGUGGGUUCGAUCCCUGGGUUGGGAAGCUCCCUUGGAGGAGGAAAUGGCAACCCACUCCAGUAUUCUUGCCUGGGAAAUCCCAUGGACAGAGGGGCCUGGUGGGCUACAGUCCAUCAGGUUGAAAACAGUCAGAUACGACUUAGUGACUCAACGACCAACCACUUUGAACAUGGAAAGUUUGUUUUUACUCCUGAGUUUGAGCUGAUGCCAGAAUAACAGAAGGGAAGUGUUCUCAAGUCCACGCUGAGUCAGAUGCUGAGACCAAGAAGUGAGACUGUGGAGGGGGGAGCGGAGACUAUAAAGGACCAGUAUGGGGACUUGCCUGGUGGUCCUGGGGUUAGGACUCCGCACGUCUACUGCAGGGCCACCAGUCAGGGAAAGCCACAUGGCUUGGCCAAAAAAGAAGAAAAAAAAAUUUUAAAGGACCAGUACAACCUUGGGGAACAUCCACAGGUUGUAGGAGGAAAGACAAGUAGCAAAGGAGACUAGGAAGAAAUUCUAAUCAGCUGAGAGAAACAAUGGGAUCCAACAUUUUUAAAAAGAGGACGAGGUCGGCAUGGUCACGUGGUGGAGGCUGGAGACACCCAUCACAGGAACUGGACAUCAGAAGCUAAGACAAGGUGUAAUGAAUGUGGUGAAGACAGAAGCUAAAUUUGAUGACUUAAGCAACAGGCUAGAAGGUGAAAAAACGGGGGUUCAGGACUUCCUGGUGGUCCAGUGGUUAAGACCUCGUCUUCCAGCACAAGGGGGUGCAGGUCGGAUCCCUGGUCGGAGGGCUAAGAUCCCACACGCCCCGUGGCCGAAAAACCAAAACACAAAACAGAAUAUUGUAACAAAUUAAAUAAAGACUUUAAAAAUGAUCCCUGUAAAAAAAGAAAUCUUAAUAAAAGAGGGUUCAAACACCGACCACUAACACAAGCUUGACAGUGAAAUAAAAGACCAGCAGGAAGCCCCGUGGAGCCUGGCCAGCGAUGAGCACUGGAGGAGACUUCUGGAAGGGUAUCUAGAAAGACAAGGAAUCAAUGAGACAAGUGCGUGGAGAGCGAGAAGAAUGGAGCCCAGAAGAAGGAGAUGGAGACGGAGACGUGAUGAGACACAGUAAUAACGGAGGCAGCUCCCGCGCCAGUGUCUUCGGUGUAAAAGGAGGCGAAUUUCUGUGGAGAGCUGUGGAGUGAGGUAGUCUAGAAAGUUGAAGCAGAACACAGGUGCCAUGGAGGCCGAUACACUUCAAGGAAAACAGAUUAAGUUUUGCUAAAGGCCAGCAGGAACCCGGCUGGUUGAAGGGACCUACGGCAGAACUCUGUGAUUUCCCGGUGCAUCCAUACCUGGGGUCACAAGUGAAGGAUGCAGGGCUGGAGACAGACCCAGCCAGGGCGCAGGGAGAGAGGAGUCUGCAGGCCCGCCCAGCAUCAACCACCGUGGGGUCUCAGUGACCCCCGAAUCUACAGGGCACCGGUCAAAACUGACUGAAACUGAACGGAGCACGAAGAUGACUUCAAGUCAUAAGCUGUCCCCAGCUGCUUAACAUUACAGAAAAGAUAUUUCCUGUGGGAGCCUCUGAAUAUACACUUCUUCCUUGCAGCUAAAUACACUCCAUCUUUGGAAUGUUUUCCCCACCUCCUUCCUCCCUUCACAGCUAGGCCUCUGCAGAGUUCUCUGGUAGGAUUUCCAUGCCAUCAGAAAAUAAAGAUCAUGGGAUCUGAGCACAUUACCUUGUUCAGCCCCUUCAUUAGAGGCAAAGCCGAAGCCAAAGCCGGGAGAGGCUGAUUUCAUCCCCUUGGGAUACGGAGUUGGCCUGUUUUCUUUUAGCACAGCCUCCCAGCGAUGUCUCAUUCCUUCUGUAGGUCUGCUCUGGUUCUGGUUCAGAAUCCAACCUCGAAGCAGGAUCUGGCAGGACCGCAGGAACUGGAGGUAGAAAUGCCAGAACCACCAUCGACAAAUGCCCUGAGCCAGUGGAAGAAGUCCUGAGCAAGGUGAUGGGCAGUUUGGGCAGGCGAAUGACCCAAGAAGAAGGCGAUAGAAGGGUUGGGAUGCCCUCACCCCUGGAAGGUAAGGGACUGGCGCUUAAGGCACUUCUCUAUGAAUCUGACUGCUUUAUAAAAG
ensembl:lncRNA